rnacentral:rRNA from 1 species
UGGGGAAUUUUGCGCAAUGGACGAAAGUCUGACGCAGCAACGCCGCGUGGGUGAUGAAGGUCUUCGGAUCGUAAAACCCUGUCGUCAGGGACGAAGACUCAUGUGCAAAUAGCCUAUGAGUUUGACGGUACCUGGAGAGGAAGCCCCGGCUAACUCUGUGCCAGCAGCCGCGGUAAUACAGAGGGGGCAAGCGUUAUUCGGAAUUAUUGGGCGUAAAGGGCGCGUAGGCGGUGCUUUAAGUGAGAUGUGUAAUCCCCGAGCUCAACUUGGGAAGUGCAUCUCAUACUGGAGCGCUAGAGUGCUGGAGAGGGUGGUAGAAUUCCACGUGUAGCGGUGAAAUGCGUAGAGAUGUGGAGGAAUACCAGUGGCGAAGGCGGCCACCUGGACAGUAACUGACGCUGAGGCGCGAAAGUGUGGGUAGCAAACGGG